GUCCCUAUAGCUCAAUUGGAUAGAGCGCAGGCCUCCGAAGCCUGAGACUCCCUGUUCGAGCCAGGGUAGGGACA
rnacentral:tRNA from 2 species